GAUGAAGGAUUGAAUCAUGAGUGCAAACUCUGCAGCCAGACCUUCGACUCUCCUGCCAAACUCCAGUGCCACCUGAUAGAGCACAGCUUUGAAGGGAUGGGAGGCACCUUCAAGUGUCCCGUCUGCUUUACAGUGUUUGUUCAAGCAAACAAGUUGCAGCAGCAUAUCUUUUCUGCCCAUGGACAAGAAGACAAGAUCUAUGACUGUACACAAUGCCCACAGAAGUUUUUCUUCCAAACAGAGCUGCAGAAUCAUACGAUGACCCAACACAGCAGUUAGUUCAAGUACCAUCUCUCAAGGAGGACUUUUGUGGCACAAAAAGGGAACAUGUUUUACUCUUUGCACGAAACUUUCAUUGUUAAUGUAUAUUAUUCAGAAACAUUGUAUUGUACCAUAAAACUUGUAUUAUCAAAACUGUUGGAUGUUCAUGUGUUUGAACUUUUGAGCACCAGAUAGACUCCUUGUAUAUAAAGUGUUGCACAUGCAUUAUGUCGUCUGAUACUAAAAUGGUCUUAUAAAGACAAGUGGACUUGGGCCCUAUUCAGACAAGAUUAAAAAAAGAGAAACAGUGAGCAAAAUGGCUUAAGACAAAGUAUUUUCAAGGAAGACAGAUUAAAACAACUAUGGUUUGGACUUCCUUUUAUUUACAUUUAAGCCUAGAAUUUCUCUUUUGGUAUAUCAACAGUUAAAAUCCAAGUUUAUUUUUUAUUGUCAAAGAUUCUUGCAAACCACGAAGAGAUGUUCUCACAGAACAGAACCCCACAGCUGGAUAAGGCCCAUAUAUAUAUUUGUAAGCCUUGCAAUGUGACAGGUAGCAUCACUAUAUAUGCAAUAGUUGUUAUGUAGACUGUCAAAGAUUUUUUUUCCCGAAUACAUUUGAAGCUUUGAGUGUUCAAGGUUUUCCUUAAUGAUUUCACACAGCCAAAUUCUUGAAUCAGUUGAACUAACCUGUAUGUUACUGUUAUUAAUGUUUACUCUGCGGUCUGAACCUGGAGAUUACUGGAAUUGUUUUCCAAGAGGAAAUAAAUUCAGUUUACCAUUAGG